GGCGAGGCGGCCGCGCCAACCUCUACCUGAGAGCUCUCCGCCCUGCUCCACUGGCAGCGCCGCGAGCGCCCAGAGGGGGCUCUGCCCUGGACACUAGGGGCUCCCGGGGGCUCGGGGCUGUGCCGCUGGCCAGGGUCAGAGUUAGCCUGCCUGGCCUUUCCCGACCAGCUGAGUUGAGAGACAGCAGAUCAGAGGAUUCCUUUUUUUUCUUUCUUUCUUUCUUUCUUUUUUUUUUGCUCACGCGAAUCUGGGAUUGUUUACGUUUGGUUCUCCGCUCUCACCCCUCGCCUGGCUCUCCUAGAUGCAAAAACCACGUUCCUGAAUUUUGCAUUAUGCAUUUUGAUGUACACCUUUUGCAUAUCUAUUGGAGAGUAGAUCUGAGUGUAUUUCAUGCAGCGUGUUUAAAUUGUGUAUGGACUCAGUACUUGUAGGCUUUUUUGUGGAGCUAUUAAAAAUAUAUAUCUAUAUCUGUAUUUUACUUUGUGAAUUAAUCUGUUGCUCAGAAUCUGACUUUUGCCAAACGUGCAAUUCCUUCCACUAUGGCAAAUUCUUUGAUUACAAGUGCUUUCAAAAAUCACCCACUCUUAACUUUUCCCCCUCGUCUCUUUGAAGUAGGGUAAAUAUGACAAUUUUUAUUGGUCUCAAUUAUUGAAACUUGAUCUAAGGACUGUGUGGAAGAAGGAGGCUGAUUGCCUUUUUCUGGCCUCCAGUUCUACUGACUUUUAAAAGGGGGGUUUGUUAAGUACCUUUGAAGAAUAUGACAUACAGUGAUCGCUUGGCUGUAAUGCAAAUUAUAGAACAUAAAUUCAGCUUGGAAUUAAAA
rnacentral:lncRNA from 1 species